AUACUUUCUUGGUAUGGGAGGUACAAUGAUUGUAAAGGCCAUUUCCCAGGGCAAGGAUUUUCUAUUGCACUCAAUAUAUUGACCCCUGAAAUUUCCCCCUAAUAGGGAAAAAAAAGAUUCAUGAUUUCUGGUACUCAAAAUAAGGUUUAUUCUUUCUUCUGA